GACGAACGCUGGCGGCGUGCCUAAUACAUGCAAGUAGGACGCAGUUGCGAACGGGUGAGUAACGCGUCGGUAACUGCCUAUUAGAGGGGGAUAACUAUUGGAAACGAUAGCUAAUACCGCAUACUAGUAGAUGGACCUGCGUUGUAUUAGGUAGUAGGUAGGGUGAUGGCCUACCUAGGCGACGAUACAUAGCCGGCCUGAGAGGGUGGUCCGCCCAACUGGGAAUGGGGAAAGGCCCAAGCUCCUUCGGGAGGCAGCAGUAGGGAAUCUUCGGAAAUGGGGGGAACCCUGACCGAACAAAGCCGCGGGGGUGUAGAAGGUUUUCGGAGGGUAAAGCUCUGUUGUGAAGGAAGCGGUACUUAACCAGAAAGGGACGGCUAACUACGUGCCAGCAGCCGCGGUAAUAC
rnacentral:rRNA from 1 species